AUUAGCUAGUUGGUAAGGUAAAGGCUUACCAAGGCGAUGAUGCAUAGCCGAGUUGAGAGAAUGAACGGCUACAUUGGGACUGAGACACGGCCCAGACUCCUACGGGAGGCAGCAGUGGGGAAUCUUCCGCAAUGGACGAAAGUCUGACGGAGCAACGCCGCGUGAGUGAUGAAGGUUUUCGGAUUGUAAAGCUCUGUUAAUCGGGACGAAUGGUUUCUAUGUAAAUAAUGUAGAGAUUUGACGGUACCGGAAUAGAAAGCCACGGCUAACUACGUGCCAGCAGCCGCGGUAAUACGUAGGUGGCAAGCGUUGUCCGGAAUUAUUGGGCGUAAAGCGCGCGCAGGCGGAUUUGUCAGUCUGUCUUAAAAGUUCGGGGCUUAACCCCGUGAGGGGAUGGAAACUACAAAUCUAGAGUAUCGGAGAGGAAAGUGGAAUUCCUAGUGUAGCGGUGAAAUGCGUAGA
rnacentral:rRNA from 1 species